AAAUUUAGGUUACACACUUAAACCGAGGACCUUCAAAGCCCCAAACAGAGCCCGCCGCUCUAAUUUCU
rnacentral:tRNA from 1 species